rnacentral:rRNA from 1 species
CGCGUAGGCGGUUUGAUAAGUCAGAUGUGAAAGCCCACGGCUUAACCGUGGAAGUGCAUUUGAAACUGUCAGACUUGAGUACCAGAGGGGAAAGUGGAAUUCCCGGUGUAGAGGUGAAAUUCGUAGAUAUCGGGAGGAAUACCGGUGGCGAAGGCGACUUUCUGGCUGAGUACUGACGCUGAGGCGCGAAAGCGUGGGGAGCAAACA